rnacentral:rRNA from 1 species
AUACGGAGGGUGCAAGCGUUAAUCGGAAUUACUGGGCGUAAAGGACGCGUAGGCGGGUUGGCAAGUCAGAUGUGAAAUCCUACAGCUUAACUGUAGAACUGCAUUUGAAACUGCUAACCUAGAGUAUGGGAGGGGGAGAUGGAAUUAGUGGUGUAGGGUAAAAUCCGUAGAUAUCACUAGGAAUACCGAAAGCGAAGGCGAUCUCCUGGAACAUAACUGACGCUAAGGCGUGAAAGCGUGGGGAGCAAACAGGAUUAGAUACCCCAGUAGUCC